rnacentral:rRNA from 1 species
GGCGGCGUGGAUAAGACAUGCAAGUCGAACGGGAUUAUUUUUGUAGCAAUACAGAAAUAAUUCAGUGGCGAACGGGUGCGUAACACGUGGGCAAUCUGCCGAAAAGUGGGGGAUAGCUCGCCGAAAGGCGAAUUAAUACCGCAUGUGGUGAGGGACGACAUCUUCCUGAAUCCAAAGCCGGGGUCAAACCUGGCGCUUUUUGAGGAGCCCGCGGCCUAUCAGCUAGUUGGUGAGGUAACGGCCCACCAAGGCUAUGACGGGUAGCUGGUCUGAGAGGACGACCAGUCACACUGGAACUGAGACACGGUCCAGACACCUACGGGUGGCAGCAGUCGAGAAUUUUUCUCAAUGGGGGAAACCCUGAAGGAGCGACGCCGCGUGGAGGAUGAAGGCUUUCGGGUUGUAAACUCCUGUCAUUUGGGAACAAGGUGCACACGUUAACUGCGUGGGCAUUGAUAGUACCAGAAGA